CAUCACUACGCUAGAUGCAUAUCAAUAAGCGGAGGAAAAGAAACUAACAAGGAUUCCCUUAGUAACGGCGAGUGAAGCGGGAAGAGCUCAAAUUUGAAAUCUUCAAGGGUUUACCUUUACGAAUUGUAGUUUAAAGAAGUGUUUUCUGUUGAGUUUCGGUAAAAGUUCUUUGGAAUAGGACAUCAUAGAGGGUGAGAAUCCCGUAUUUGACCGUUACUUUCCAGCUGUGUGAUACACUUCCAAAGAGUCGGAUUGUUUGGGAAUGCAGUCCAAAAUGGGUGGUAAAUUUCAUCUAAAGCUAAAUACUGGCGAGAGACCGAUAGCGAACAAGUACCGUGAGGGAAAGAUGAAAAGAACUUUGAAAAGAGAGUUAAACAGUACGUGAAAUUGUCAAAAGGGAAGCGUUUGACACCAGUGUUGUUUUCUCGAAAAUCAAUUAAAAAUGGUGGGAUUUUGUGUUGUAUUGACUUUAUCAGCUUUCUGCACUUUUUUCCUAUCUUUUUUAAUGCACUUUUCGUUUAACAAGUCAACAUCAAUUUCUUUUGUUGUAUAAGAGUCAUUGGAAGGUGGCCUUCUUUUCGGAGAAAGUGUUUAUAGCCUUUGGCUUCUGCAAUCGGAGAGAUUGAGGUCUGCAGCGUAGAUCCUUCGGGGUUAGAUACAUUUGUGCUAAGUUAUAGCCUUUCAUAGACAACUUGUUGACUAUGAUCAGUCAUGUAGCUUACUCGCUUAUGCUAUUUUACCUACGCUUAGGAUGUUGAUAUGCAUGACUGAUAU
rnacentral:rRNA from 1 species